AUUGAACGCUGGCGGCAGGCCUAACACAUGCAAGUCGAGCGGCAGCGGGAAAGUAGCUUGCUACUUUUGCCGGCGAGCGGCGGACGGGUGAGUAAUGCCUGGGAAAUUGCCCAGUCGAGGGGGAUAACAGUUGGAAACGACUGCUAAUACCGCAUACGCCCUACGGGGGAAAGCAGGGGACCUUCGGGCCUUGCGCGAUUGGAUAUGCCCAGGUGGGAUUAGCUAGUUGGUGAGGUAAUGGCUCACCAAGGCGACGAUCCCUAGCUGGUCUGAGAGGAUGAUCAGCCACACUGGAACUGAGACUCGGUCCAGACUCCUACGGGAGGCAGCAGUGGGGAAUAUUGCACAAUGGGGGAAACCCUGGUGCAGCCAUGCCGCGUGUGUGAAGAAGGCCUUCGGGUUGUAAAGCACUUUCAGCGAGGAGGAAAGGUUGGUAGCUAAUAACUGCCAGCUGUGACGUUACUCGCAGAAGAAGCACCGGCUAACUCCGUGCCAGCAGCCGCAGUAA
rnacentral:rRNA from 1 species